AACGCUGGCGGUAUGCUUAACACAUGCAAGUCGAACGGAAGUCUUCGGACUUUAGUGGCGGACGGGUGAGUAACGCGUGAGAAUCUGGCUUUAGGUCGGGGACAACAGUUGGAAACGACUGCUAAUACCGGAUAUGCCGAGAGGUGAAAGAUUAAUUGCCUGAAGAAGAGCUCGCGUCUGAUUAGCUAGUUGGUGGGGUAAGAGCUUACCAAGGCGACGAUCAGUAGCUGGUCUGAGAGGACGAUCAGCCACACUGGGACUGAGACACGGCCCAGACUCCUACGGGAGGCAGCAGUGGGGAAUUUUCCGCAAUGGGCGAAAGCCUGACGGAGCAAUACCGCGUGAGGGAGGAAGGCUCUUGGGUUGUAAACCUCUUUUCU
rnacentral:rRNA from 1 species